GUGGGCAUCCUAUAUGGGUGUGGGAAUGGGUGCAAUAUGGUUAUCACAUGUGAUGGCAAUUCUAUCUCAUGUAGGAGUCCUUCUUUCAUGAGUAUUAGACUGAUUCAAAGUAUAUUUGAAUUAGGAAUCCUAUACUUAUUGGGUCAUAGGAAUCAUCUAUAAAUAGAGAGGGUCUCUACCUAUAGAUGCAUACCAAAGAAAUCAGAUUGAGAGAAGAGAGAAAGAGAGAGAGGUGUGAGAAGAGGGAGCUCCAUCCCUUCUUCCUUCCUUGGCAUCUCCCCAUCAUUGCCGCCCACCUCUUCUUACCAUGGGACCCAUCUUAGGCAUCCUCCUUGCUGGUGUGAGGCAUCACACCAGCAUCUCUUCUCCCUCAUUUGAUUGGAUUACAAAGGUGAUUUGAUCGAAAUUCAUCUCACUUUUCUGCGUUGUCUGGCAUGUAUGUGAAGUAGAGGGUCUACACUUCCAGGCCUCCGCAAAGGUUUGUUUCAGAUUUUUAAAGAUUUGAUCUCCGAUUUUACUGCUAAUCAGGUAAAGAUUUGAUCUUUAUUCAUAUAGAUUAAUAAAAAAUUUUAGAUG
rnacentral:lncRNA from 1 species